GUGAAGUCGCUCAGUUGUGUCCGACUCCUAGCGACCCCAUGGACUGCAGCCCACCAGGCUCCUCCAUCCAUGGGAUUCUCCAGGCAAGAGUACUGGAGUGGGGUGCCAUUGCCUUCUCCGACAAGGGACUGUUAAGCAUGAUUAAAUGCAACAGCAGUUUCUUAUAUUAAUCUAAGAUCCUAUUCCCAUCUAACUCUGUUUUCAUUAAUGUAGAGCCUACAUGGACUUGUUAAUGGGCUUAUUUGCACUGCCCUUCCUUCUGUUAGUCUAGAUUCCCAGGCCAUCCUCGAUUUGCAUUACCAAAGAGGGUAUAAUGGACUGUUAAUGUGCUAAAAUGCUGCUACAGUCCCUUAUAUUAACCUAGGAUCUUAUCCUCAGCUAAGGCUCUUUGCAGGCUUGCAGAGGAUGAUUGGGGCUGUUCAUGGCCUUAAAUACCACUACAUCCCUUAUGGUAACCUAGGAUCCCAUUCCCAACUAUUAAUAUCUUCCUUUUAAUUACUGCAGAGCCUACAUAGAACUUGUUAAUGAACUACCAUUGUUCCUUCCCUUUGUUUAGACUCCCAUUUCCUAAAGAUUUACAUUACCACAGAGGAUACAAUGGACUGUUAAUGUGCCCGUACCGUUCUUUUCCCUCCCCCUCCUUUUUAAAGCCCAGGAUCCUAUUCCCACCUAACUCCCUUUGCAUUACCAGUGACUGUACAAGUGCCUGCUAAUGCUUUUAAAUGCAAUUACAGUCCCUUAUGUUAACCUAGGAUCCUACCCCCAACUAAGUCCCUUUGCAUGAUUGCAGAGGAUACUUGGAACUGUUAAUGUGAUUCACUGCAGCUACAUUCCUUUAUCUCAUCUAGGAUCCAUUCUCUUCCUUCUUGAUUUGCAUUAUCAGAGAGGAUAGAAGGGAUGGUUAAUGUACUUAAAUGGAACUAUAGUCCCUUAUAAUCAGGAUCCUAUUUCUACCUAACUUCCUUUGUAUUACUUCAGAGUAUACAUGGGACUUUUUAAUGGGCUUAAUUGCACUACUUUCCUUCUUUUAGUCUAGAUCCCCAUCCUUCCUACUUCAUUUGCAUUACCCCAAAGUGUACAAGGGACUGUUAUUGUACAUAAAGGCAGUUAAACAGUCCCGUGCUUUAGUCUAAGAUUCCCUCUCCCCCUUUAAUUCCCUCUACAUUACAGAAGGGGAUACAAGGGACUGCUAAUGUGCUUAAGUGCUGCUUGCAGUCCUUUAUGUUACCUAGGAUCCCAUCCCCACCUAACUCACUUGUCAGAGAGGCUACAAGGGACUGUUAAUGUUUUUAAAUGCAGGUAUAGUGCCUUAACAUCGAAAUCCAUUCCUGCAUAACUCCCUUUUUCAGGACUGCAGAUGGUAAUUGAGACUGAUAGUGAGCUUUAUUGCACUUACAGUCUCUCUUAGUCUAGGAUCUCAUUCUCUCCUACUAGAUUUACAUUACCAUGACUGUACAAGGGACUUUUAAUGUGCUUAAAUGCAUUUAUAGUCCCUUAUGUUAACCUAGGAUUCUAUUCCCACCUAACUUCCUUUUCAUGACUGCAGAGGGUACUUAACGACUGUUAAUGCCUUUACUUGCCUAUACAGUCUCAUCUGUUGAUCUAGAUUCCCAUGCCCUCCUACUCAAUUUGCAUUAUAAAAGAGGGUACAAGGGACUGUUAACUUGCUUAAAUGCAGCUACAGGCCCUUACAUUAACCUGGGAUCCCAUUCCCACCUGACUCCGUUUGUAUCAUCCCAGAGGCGAUAAGGGACUUUCAUUGUGUAUGAAAGUGAAAGUGAAGUUGCUCAGUCGUGUCCGACUCUUUGCGACCCAUGGACUGUAGUUGGCCAGGCUCCUCUGUCCAUGGGGUUUUCCAGGCAAGAGUACUGGACUUGGUUGCCAUUUCCUUCUCCAGGGGAUCUUCCUGACUCAGGGAUUAAACCCAGUCUCCUGCAUUACAGGCAGACUUUUUACCAUCUGAGCCACCAGGGAAUCCCAAUGUGUUUAAAUGCAGGUAAAGUCCCUUAUGUUAAAUUCAAAGUCCUUUCCCACCUAACUGCUUUUUUAUCACUGCAGGGGGUACUUGGGACUGUUAAUGGGACUGUACUUGCUUAUCCAAUUUCAUUCAUUGGUCUAGAUUCCCAUGCUCUUCUACUUAAUUUGCUUUAUAAAAGAGGGUACAAGGGACUGUUAAUGUGCUUAAAUGCAGCUACAGUCCUAGGAUCUCACCCCUCUCUACUCGUGUUACUUGUUGGUAUUUGGGACAGAAAGGUGCUUAAAUGCAACUGUGGUCCAUUUUGUUAACCUAGGAUCCCAUGCCCUCUAACUCUUAACAUUACCUGGGAGUAUACUGGGACUGUAGAACUGCUUAAUUGCAACUGUGGUCCCUUCUCUUAGUCUGGAGUCCAUGCUCUCCACAGUUUUGUUUAUAUUCCCAUAGAAGGUACUUGGAACCUGUGAAUGUGCCUAAAUGCAGAUGUGGUCCCUUUUGUUAGUUUAGGAUCCCAGGACUUCCUUUACAUUAUCUGUGAAGGCAUUUGGGACUGUCAAGGUGAUAAUUGCUGCUGUGUUCCCUUCGGAUAUCUAGGAUCCUGUUCCCUCCUACUUCCACUUCUUUUGCGUUACAUGGAAGGGUGCUUAACUGUAGCUAUGGUCCCUUCUGUUAGCCUAGUUUCCAUUCCCUUUCUACUUCCUUUGCUUACCACAGAAGGUACUGACUAUUGUGGUGCAUCUUAUCCUCUCACAUUAAACCUCAGGGUCCUGAACACUAAGGCCCCUCUUUCUGCGCUUUUUAAUGUGCAGUUGCAUUUGUUCCUCUUCCUCUGCAGUGUAUAAAGACUCCACUCAUUUCCCUUGUAUUCAGUGGUGGAUGUCCUUUGCUCAAGACCUUUGUACUAGAAUAAAGUGAACCGUGACAAUUCACCACGAAUAUAUUCUUUCACUUCAGUCCCUUAUAUUCUGUUUUAUAAAAAUACAUAUUAAUUACCUCCAUUACUUUUUCUCUGGGAGUAUUUACAUGCAAAAUUCCAGUGUUUAAGGCCCUUCUCUUUAAAUUAAUAUCCCUCCCUUUUUGCAUUAUAUCAGGGGAUGUUAAUGACCCAAACUCUUUCUCCUGGGACUCAGUGUGCAUGUGCCCUCAUGACAAACUAAUAUAUUGAAUUUUUAGUAUUAAAGCAGGGACUACUGACUAGUUUUUCUUUUGGACAGUUAAUGUGCAGAAUUACACUAGGAUCCCAUCCCAUUCCACCUCCUUUGCAUCAGGGGUCCUAAUCAACUGGCUGCUGCUUCUGUACAGUUUAAAUGUGCAUAAUUUCAGUAGUCCAUGCUCCCUUAUGUUAGACUAGGAUCCCCUAUCCUUGCCCCAUUUACAUUACGGCAGGGGCUUCUGACUAGCUAAGAUUCACUGUCUUGGACUGUUAAUGUAUGUACUUACGUUUGCUCCUGUACCUGUACCUCAGGUAAGGACCGUCCCCAUUCUAUUUAUAUUUUAGCAGGAGAUGCCUACUAUUCAAGAUCUUACACACUAUUGCAGUUAAUGUGCACAAUCUUAGUUGUCUUGUACACAUUCUCAGUUGUCCACAGCUGUGCUUUUUAAAUCAGAGCCCUUUCACUUAUUGACGCACAGGUUAACUUACCACCUUAAAGCCCUUGUUAUGGGACUGUGACUAUGUGUAAUUACAGUUGUCUAUGGUCUUCUGAGUUAACUUGUCUCCCUGACUCUUUUCAUCCUCUUUGCUUUACUGCAUGGGGUACUGUCCACUUAAGGCCCCUUUCUCAAAUAUGUGUAAUGACAAUUACAUUAUAGGGGCUUCAUACUCCCUUUAAGAUUCUUAUAUUUGUAUAAGGUAUAUGAUUUUAAUUGACCACACCAUGUCCCUUCAACAUUAAUUUGCAUAAUUGCCACUUAGUUCGUCUUAUCCUGUUGCCCUCCCCUUCCUUAGCUUGUGGAUGUGCAUUCUUGUGCACUAGACAAGGACCCUCCCCCUCACUUCCUAUGCCUUCCAGUAAGUUUGCCCAUUGCUAAGACCUUUCCAUUUGGACAAUUAAUGUGCAGAGUUGCACUUUCCCAUACCCCUAUUACUUCUAGGACUCUUGUAUCUCCUUUGUAAUAGUGCAGGGGAUACUGUUUCCCCGCCAAGAUCCCUUACUGUUAAUAUACGUAAUAGAAAUUCUUGUCUUUAUCAGUGUACUUCGGUAAUACUCCCUCAGCCAGCUAUCAUGACCUCAGCUCUUGGACAAUUAAUAUGCACCAAUAAUAUAUCAAACAUAUGAUCUUUAGAUAGGAUCCCUGUACCCUCACUAUGGAUCACGAGUACUGACUUAAGGCUUCUUUUUUUGACUCUGGGUGUGAAUAUUUGCAGUUAUCUAUACACCCUUCUAUUAGAGUAGGACAUCAUUCUCUCAUACCCCCUUUGCAUUACUGCAUGGACUGCUGAUGACACAAAACUUUCACUGGGACUGCUGAUGAGCACAAUGGCAGUUGGCAAUGGGUUUUUCCUCCCUGGUCUUGUUAGGUAAGCACUCCCAGCUCUAAAUUCUCAUGGUAUAAUAAACUAUAAACACUGCACUAUGCUGUGAACUUGUCCAUCAAAGGGCGACCCACAUUCCCACUCCUUUUGCGUUGGCUCCAGUGUAUCAAAUUCCAAGUAAUCAUGGCCUUGCCCUUAUCUUCCCUCUAUAAACCCCUUGCCUGCCCUUGGACCCUUAUGGAUUUUUAAGUUCACAAUUUCAGGUGUCCAUCUAUCCAGAUAAAAUUAUGCUCCCUCACCCCUCCCACCCCUGCCCUGCCCCUUUUGCAUUGUUGCUGGGAAAUGUUGACUGAGCAAAACUCUUUUCUCUUGAAUUUACAAUGUUAACAGUCCCAGAUGUCAUUGUUCUGCCCACUUUGAAUUUCUAUAAUUCCCUGUUGAACUUUCCUUGGUCCCACCCAUCACGGACUCUUCCACUUCCUUCUUUGCAUUACUUCUGAAUAGUGCUGACCACCCACAGCCCCUUCUGUGUUGUUAACACAGUAUUGAUUGUCCCAUUUUUAAGCCCAUCAGCCCAAGAUCUCCCUACCAUUUUGAUGUUAUAUUUGUGCAGUAUGGACUACCAAAAGCAGGCCAGAACUAGGUGACUGGACCUUACUCCUUUUCCUGCAUUUGUUAAUGAUCCCAGUUCCGAUUAUUGUCAUAUUCUGGGGACAGAACCGUUCCUGAUCCCCUUUCUUACUGCUUUACUAGGCAAAAUGCUCAAGGCAAGUCAGACCCAAAGGAACUGGAUUGCUACCCUUUAUUUGGGGUUUUCAUUAUAAAUAAUCAUUUGAAAAUUGACUUCUCAGGAAGGAAGGUUAGCACUAUCUGUGCAUUCUUCCUUUCAAAGCAGAUUGCCUGGCUAUGUCUCUCCUUUCUUCUUGCAUAUUGCCAUUGUAUAGUGCCAAUUGCCAGGAUACAACCAAAAAGUUUCUUUUUUUUAAUUUUUUUUUUAUUUUUUUAAGAAAGACAUCUGGAUUGCAGGGUGGAAUUGAUAACCUGGUCAUUAAAAUUUUGAAGUUGGUAAACCCAUUUAUAUCAUGUACCUGAUGACCAGUGUCUCUCAUUUUACUAAGGGUGGUGAGUCUGUGGAUAGACCACUGUGACUUUGAUAUUUUAGUACAUUACCAAAGGAGUUCUAGAGUGGAACUCUUAAGACCAGUAUCUUUGGGCUCUACCACCAUUUUCAAACCACUCCUUGUUUGAGCUUUGCCAGUAUUCACUUCUAGGAAAAACUAUCUAAACUUCCUAAUCGUUAAAUUUCUUCAUCUUGGAGCUCCAACUAGUCCGUACUUAUUUCAAGAAGAUUGCUGUAAAAGGAUUAAAUGAGAGAACAUGCUGAGGUGCUUUUGAAAACCAUAGAUCACUUUGUUUGAUUAAUCUAUUACAUUUUAUGUACCCUGUUUAAUUCUGCUACUUUAAAGUUACCUAAAGCACCACACUGAAGUAAGGCCUUAGAAACGAUGGAACCAGUUUCCCCAUUUUAUAUGAAAAGAAAAAUAAGCCAAGGUCUAAUCAGUCUUUUGGAUGUAAAUUUCAAUAGUGAAAAUGAAUACAAAUGAAUAAUACGUCAGCCUCUAGUGUACAAGGUGUUUGGCAGAGAAGCAUUUAAUAUGGAACUGCUGAAGCAAGUAACUAAUUAUCACCACAGCAGUUCUUUGUAAUCACUGAAAAGGAUACUGUUGUCUGAGAAGGAUGUCAAAAGAUCGGCCCAGCUCAGGGUGCAGUUUGCACUACUAGCUCCUUGGACAGCUGUAAGAAGAGUCUCUGGCUCUUUAGAAUACUGGAUGAAUUCUGAGCUGGUUCCCCCCCACUCAAGAGGAAGGAUGGAUCAAGUUUCGGUGGAGUGAAGCCUGCACUGGACAGCAUCCAAAGGACAUUCCAAGCAUAUCAGACCUGAGGACUGCAAGCAACUUUAAGAAGCUUCAUAUUCAUCAGGUCUUUCCUUUUGAGAAUCUGGAUAAACUCCAACCAAUCUAAUAGGAUGGCUUGCAGUUUCCCUGGAGAAAAAGAUCUACCUCAAAAGAAUAGGCCUGUUGCUUGACAGUGUUAGUGACCCAUUCCCUUCGACGAUUCCUAGGUGGAGAUGGGGCAUGAGGAUCCUCCAGGGGAAAGAUUCACUACCACUGAGCAACAACUCUAGGCCAGGAGGUUAUACCAAGAUUCUUUCCUGGGCCCAGUUAAGAAGAUGAAGUCUCAAGACAACCACCACACAUCCAGAGGUCCUGGUUGUUCCCUUCAUAUUUGCCAAAUCAUUAUCUUUCCCUGAAGCAGUGCAAAGAGCAAGAAAUGUGAACACACCAAGGAAGAUCAACAUGCCUGCAAUGCUAGUAUUUUAGAAUAGCAGAAUGAACUCCUCACUGUAUUUUGUCUCUUCUAUUUCUUACUCUCUUCCAUGAAUGUCUGCCUUUGCUUAUCUUUUAAACUCAUAAGUGUGUAUUUGUUUGCUUGUCUGUUUCUUCUUUAAAUGACUUUGGUCUUUCUUGUCUAAAGUAUGUCUUAUCCAUUUCCAUGAUUCUCUUGCUAGUUUCUUCUCUGUAUAUCUUUGUCUCAUUUACUUUUUUGUACCCAGGAGUGGUCUGUGUCUUGUCUUAAAUGUCUUUCUAGUUUUCUUCAUUUUGUUACUGAUUCUCUUUGCUCUGCUAGAUCUAGCUCUUCUUUCACCGUUCUCUGUGAGCCUCUUGAGUUAUGUGUGCCUUUUGCUCAUUUCUUGCUAUGCCUGCCUCUCUUCUUUUUCUCUUUGUGAACUCUGUCACCCGUUCCCCUUGUUGGCUUGACAUUUCACCUUUUCUGAUACUGGCUACCCUUCUGCUGUUUCUACUCUUUAUCUUGCAUAUUUCUCUUUUCUACAUAUUCUUUGUGCCUUUCUUGGGCUAUUUUCUCUUUUUUUCCUCAUGCUUUGUGUGCCCCAGUGUCUCUUUGUUCUUUGUGAUUUUCAAUUUCAGCAUUCAUCUCUGUUCUCUUGGUUCUUCUCUCCUUUUGCCUUUCUAUUCACUUUUGAGUAUUUCUUGAGUCUAUGUCUCCCCCUCUUUGAUUUCAUGCAAUUCUCUCUCCUGGCAUAUUUUUUCGUGCAUGUUUGUGUGUGUGCUCUUUUGUGUGUUUGUAAAGGCGCCUCCUAACCCCUUCCAGUAGGUGCAGAGUGUCAGCUAUCAAAAUAAGCAUUGCAGAGCUGUUCGUUAUGCCAGGCCGCCCUGUGAGAUGAUCCAAAACCAACAGAAGGUCCAAGGGUCUAGACUGGAGUUGGAUAGAAGACUCAAGUCUCCGUGAGACAGAAGGCCAAAGACCCAGGAUGGGAUUAAAAAACCUUGUCUUGAAGACCUGUGACCCAAAAGAUGGAAGUGCCCUAGCACACAUAAAGACCCAGAACUCAAACCUAUCUGUAUAAGACAGAAGGCCCAAGAGAGACAGAUAUUUCAAGACUAAAUUAGAUGGGAAACUGGAGGUUCGUGACAGAGAUAACCAGGAAAGAAAGAAGCCCCAGGACCAAAGGAAAUUCCAAGAUGAGACUCUUAAACCCCAGCUGUUUUCUAUUGCUCUUUUCCCUACCCUUGGACAUUUUCAGUUCUCCCUUCCUUCUUCUCAUGUCUCCAUUUAUAUCUACUUCUUUUGAGAUGUCCUUUUUGAUGUUGCUGUUACCUUUAAAAAAAAAAACGUAUCUUUAGAUCAGUAAUAUUAUGCUUUGGCCUGUUUUUAUUACAGUUUUGAGCCAUUUAUUAAGUUUUUGAAGUUUUAAACUUCCAUUUCUCUUCACCUCCUCUCCACUUGAGAGGGACGCAUAGCUGACAUUAUAUUUCAGUCCCCUCUUUCCUCAGAAGCUCUAGGCUGAUGAGAGAAGGAAAGUAUCAGGUUCAGUUAUUGAGGGGAAACAAAGUGCCAAGCUAUCUAGAGAAGAUGUGAAGAGAUGCUCCACAGGCCAAUGAGAAGAAUUACACAAGAAAUACACAGAUGUGCCAGUUUGCUGAGAAGUGCCAGCCAGCAACAUCUUACUUAUUUGAGCUUGGGUGAGCAGGAUACCUGAGGUUUGGGAUUCUUACUGAUGGUUAUGAAGGAGGAUUGGGCCUAACACAUAGUGAGGCCCCAAGGAAGGAGCGUGAACUCCCUGCUCAUAGUAGUGGCCUAAUAAUGUGGUAAGCUGCAUAAGUUUUAUCCCUCGGUUUAAUACCCACCUCUAGGCUUAAAGGUGAGAAAAUCUGGGAAUAUUUAACAGGUUUAAUCCUUUCAUUGAUUUUUUUCCUCUUACCAUAAGGAAAGAUAAUUUUAGUGGUAAUAUAUAUGAAAGCACUGUAAAACACAGAAAAAAAGCAAGACAUUCUCAUUAAUAAUGUAUUGGCACUCAUGCACAGCUAACAUUUGAAAAUACAUUGUCAGUUGUGAAGCAUUAGGUAAAUCAAGGGUUAUCACACCCUUUUUGUAAAGGGUCAGAUGGCAAUUACUUUAUACUUUGCAGGCCAUAUGGUCUCUCUCUGCUUUUUUUUAUUUUUAAAGUGAGUAUGGUCUGUGGGCCACAGUUUAUCACCCCUGAUGUAAUUGCCAGGGACUGUGUGCUGAAUAAUAUUAAUUUCUUUCUUUGUGCCUGUCCCUGUAUGCAUUAAGAAUGCAAUGAUUACUUAUGGUCAUAUCCAGGUGAUAUGAAGAAAAAUAUAUGAAUGUGACUUAUAAACUAUUAUGCACUUUAAAAGCUUGUCACAAUUUUCAGAGUUGAUGAAUGAACAUUGAUUACAUGGUAUAUACAUUUCUAGGCACUGUAUAUACAAAGAACAAAAGCGUGAAUAAAUGGCUUUCUCAAAAGUAUGUAAUACUGUACAGAUAUUAGGAAUUAAGUCUAUGAUAAAUGAGUAAUUCAUGUAUUUGUGGCCAUUGUGUUUCUGUGGCUCUGGUGAUUUUGAGUAAAGAUGUAGUAUUCCAAGUCACAGAAAAGAAAACAUUGUUCAGUCGCUAAGUCGUGUCUGACGCUUUGUGACCCCAUGAACUGCAGCAUGCCAGGCUUCCAAACCCUUAAACUAUAAAGCAUACUGCAAACACAAGGGAUUUAAACUAUUGUGAUUACUUAUAAUGUGCCAGAUAACAUCCUGGGCACUACAGAUGUCAAAGGAAAAGAAUAUUCUUAUUAUAGAAUAAUUAAAAAUUUUAGAUAGGCAGUACAUUUUAAAGUGCUUUGUACUAAAGCACUGUAUAAAUACCAAUGGGCCAUAUGUUUAUGAAUGAAUGAAUAAGUAUUAAUUUCCUUAUAUAUGCCAGCUAUUGUUCCAGGUACUGUGAAAUCCAAGACAAUGCUCCCAAGUGAUAAGAGGGAUGUUUAUGUCCUAUACUACUUAUAUAAAAAGAAUUAGAUAUUACUUAUUUUAAUCAAUAAAGACUUUACUGGUGAUGUUGAACUAAAUUAUUACCAGUAUAUUUUCCAAGGUAACAGGAAAAUGUAAUGAAUGAAAUUGAGCUUUCUAACUAUAAAAUGCUACAUAAAUAUAAAACAUUAGGUGUUUUCUCUGUGAACAAAACUUACGUUGAGACAGACAUUUGUCUGUGUGUGUUAGUCGUUCAAUCAUGUCUGACUCUUGCGACCCCAUGGACUGUAACCCACCAGACUCCUCUCUCUCUGGAUUUCUCCACACAAGAAAACUGAAGUGGGUUGUCAUUCCCUUCUCCAGGGGAUAUUCUUGACUCAGAAACUGAACUCAGGUCUCCUGCACUGCAGGCAGAUUCUUUACCAUCUGAGCCACAGAUUCUCAUUGUGUGCUUGACCCACUAUGAGAAAGGCAGUAUAAAAUUCUCAGCAUACAAACUGAGAGUUUAAAUACUUGGUAAAUGAAUGGGUCAUUAAUAUUAGUUGCCUACUAUGUGGACUCACUGUUAAAGGCACUAAAGAGACACACAAAUUUAUCAUUUUAUUGUGCCUACAGUUGAGAAUAGGCAAUACAUACGUUAGUAUUUUGUGAACUCUAAAAGUACCAUAUAAGUGUAACUAUUGAUUUCCUCAGUUGGUAUGCCUAAUACUAGGCUUGCAAAAUUGUAUCAUAGCUAUUAUACCAUGAAAAAAGUCAGAAAAAAUUUGAGCAAGGAUUGUUAAUUACUGAACACUUCAAAUAUGAUACAUAAAGGACUAAAUGUCUGAAUGCAAGACUGGAUGAUAAUUAUGUGCCAGUCUCCUUGAUAAGCAUAAGAGAUAAGAAGAUAAUCCAUCUUUACUGUGUUCUGGGCAGCAGAAGGUAAUGUAUAAAAUCAAUCUGUAGGUCUUAAACUGGCAUACAUAUAUAAGCCAUAUCUGCUGAAUGAACAUUGAUAACUUACUCUCUCUUAUUCCAAGAGAUAGCAACUAGGGAUGCAAAAAUUCAUUGCCAUUAUUGUUGAACCUGUAACAGAUCUGUAUAAAUUUUACAAAGCUUACUGUUCUAUACAGAUCUAAAGAAUUAACUCUUGGCUUAAUGAAUGGUUACUGAUUACUUUCUAUCUAUAAAGCUCAAAACUGUGUAUGCUCUAGGAUAUAAAAAUGACUCUCCUUAUCAGAUGCUGUAAAUAACAUGAGUGGGAAUCCAGAAUAAAUGUUACUUAACCAUUGCUCAGCUUAUUUAAUGAUAAAAACAUGGGCAGAAUGGAAUUGUGCAAGGCAGUAUGCUGAAUGCUGAGCUAGGUGGAAAGAUAAAAUCCAGACCAGAAGGCCACUUGCUCCCUGGCUUGACUAAAGGAAUGGAAUUUUUUUGUUUCUUUGUUUAAAGAGCAAGAUGUUGUCGUUCUCCAUUGGUCUUUUAAAUGCUGAAUGCUGAAGAUGGAAGUGAAUUCAACCCACUCUGGCCUGGCAUAGAGAAAUUGAAAGAGUAAAAAAUGGUUCAGGUUGGCUUUUAGAUUAAUUUGAUGAACAGCAUCUUUUAUGUAAAAUAUAUCAUUCUAGGUCCUGAGCAUAAGAGAUAUGAAAUGGGCCUAGUCUAAAGGGCUUUAGAUAGAUCAAAGAUCAUAACUGAAGAUCCAAAAACAUCUUUGAGUUUUAAGUAAAUAUUUGAGUUCCCGUUCCCUAGAUCCUAUUCCUGUUCCUUGAAUUCUUGUUCCUAUUUUCUUGGUGAAGUCUGGUCCAGAAAACCUAUUGACUUGCCUUGGAAAUUUAAAAAAUAGAAAAACAAUAUGGUUCUUUCAAUGUAAAAUGAAGAUAUAUUUCUUGGCUCUAGAAAGUAUCAAUGUCAUGUGCUCAUUGACCUAGAUUGAAGCCAGAAGAUUAAUAAAAGGCCUCAGAGUUUGUCCUUUAAUUCAUUAAUAUUCUGUUUUUAUUAUAGUUAAAUGGGUAAGAUGACAAUUAAGAUUAUUAUGGCAUAGAAUCAGGAAGACAAUAAAAAAGAUUCUUCCUAGAUUUUCCAUAUUUUGUAAAUUAUUCACUUGAAUGAAGUACUGUUCUUAAGUACUGAGGAGAAUGAAGAGAUUUAAAAGACCUAGACCAAAAUAUACUUUAAUUUCACUAGUACAUGGAACACACAAGAACAAAUUUGAUAGGAGAUUGCAAUUCUUUCAUUAGUUGGAAAAACUAAAGUAGCUGUGAUAUUAAGAUACUGAGAUGGAAUGAUUAAACAGAUCACUUUCUCUUUGGCAUGUUUUGUAGAGAAGGAAUAAAAAAACUUUUCAGUUAUUCAUACAAGCAUUGAAGAAGGUGAUGCUAAAUGAAAUAGAUCUGGUAAAAAGAUAAUUGUCUUGGAGAUGCAGUUAAAAAAAAAAACAAGACAUGGAGUGAAACUUCAUUGAAUGAGUGUCUAUUUCAAGGCAUUGUGCUAAUUCCUAGACAGAAAACAAAAAAGAUCUUGACUGAAAGACACUUACUUGACUUGGAAACUGGUAUAUAAGAGAAGAGGUUAUUGUUAAUUUUUUUAAAUUUAUUCAUUCAUUCUACAAGUAUGUUUGAGUGCCUAUUGUAUAUAAGCUCCUUAGCUGGGUUCUAGCUAGGUUCUCUAGCUAACCCCCAGAAAGAGACAUGAGAAAAUGAAUGCCUUCCCAGAGAACUUAAAAUUUGCCUUUUGGCCUGUUUUCUGAUCAGGGCUAAACGGCUUACUUCCUCAAUAAUAUUGUGUGGUUUAAUUCCUACUCCAUCUUAAACCACUCUGGCCACUACAAUAAGCAGGGGUUUUUACUGAACUUGCUCCUUAAAUUGCAGGAUCCUUCCUUAUAAUAACACUUCAGUUUUCCUAACCCAUCCCUCAUGAAAAACGGUUAUGACCAUAGUGAGCCAAAAGAGGGAUGAGAAGCAACUGAUUCCCAAACUUCAGUCUCAUUGGUACCAACCUUGAAGAACCACUCAUACUCAAAUCACAAUUGGUUUUGAAACACACUUACAGUUUUGUCUAUGACAAAUAUACACUGCCUCAGUCUUUUUUAAAAACAAUCCUCCAAUAUUACUUAGCAAGUUUGGAGAUGGAGACAUGAUUUGUGUUUUGCAACAACAGCUUCUCAACUUACAACUUAGAAAUCUUUUCCUUUUCACCAUCAAAACCUGCUUAAGAUAAGACUUGAAACUAGCCUAACAAUUUUACCAUGCUUAAGUCUUAAGAAUAAUAGAAAUUGAAAGUAUUUGGCAAAUGUUGGAGGGAAAAAAAUCUACAUAUAGGCCCAAAUGGGCUUUGGCCUUUUCUCUUUUUAAAUCACUCACAGAGGGUGGGAUAGGAGGAAGAGUGAAAGAAAAGGUCAAGCCUGAUUCUAAAAACAGUUGGUCUUAAAAGUAUUGCUACCUCCAGAUCUAACUUGGGGAUUGCUGUUCUUAGUGUAAUUCAAUUUUAAAAACUGGUCACUGUUAAGAUGAGGACAGAGUCCUUUGUCUAUCAGUUAAGCCUGGGGUUAUAUAAUUAUGGAAUUUAUUAAAUCUAUGUGACCUCUCCAUCAUAAGGUAGUCUUAAAGCUAAAGUCGGUCCACUACAUAGAAAGAGGACUUUAUCGUUCACUAUAAUUCAUACAUACUUUCAAAGCAUCUACACUUUAAAGUUUACAUGGCAAGACAACAAUACCAUCUGUAAAAAUAGAAGGAAAUAGAAGAAUGGCAGGAGAUAGUUGCUGGAGGGAGCGAAUUUGAAUGGGAUUUGGGGUAAUGUUUGUAGUUUUUGCUUUGUAUAUUUUUAUUUAGGUGUAAGGUGUAUCUGAUACUAAUAAUGUUUGGUGUUUAAUAUGUACUAUUAGCUGGACUCAGUAAUAAUUUCUCCUGGAAAGGAGAAAGUAACAGUCUUCAUUUCACAGUUUCUGGCAUCCCAAGGCCACCACUACUGAUAAACAAGAAUAAUAGAACAUUCUGUCAUCUGAUUUUUGUGGCAUAAAUUAAGUUGUGAACAAUUUUUUUUUCUUAAGAAAAAGAAAUGGCUUUACAUCUACCCUUUUACCUUAAAAGGAUCUAUGCCAAAAUACUCUGAUGAAUGGAAGACACACGUGGACUUGUGAACUGAUGUGAAACACAUAAUAUCUGAGCCUUGGUUGUUGUGAAGAUUGAAAAGUCUUGUUCAGUUCGGAUAACCACCAAGAAAGCAACCUAAAGCUGUCUAUAUGUCACAACUGAGACAAAUUGGGGAGUUUGUUGUUUAAUGUCAAAUAAAAAUGUACUGUUUUGAAA